rnacentral:rRNA from 1 species
AUUGAACGCUGGCGGCAGGCCUAACACAUGCCAGUCGAGCGGAUGAAGGGAGCUUGCUCCUGGAUUCAGCGGCGGACGGGUGAGUAAUGCCUAGGAAUCUGCCUGGUAGUGGGGGAUAACGUCCGGAAACGGGCGCUAAUACCGCAUACGUCCUGAGGGAGAAAGUGGGGGAUCCUCGGACCUCACGCUAUCAGAUGAGCCUAGGUCGGAUUAGCUAGUUGGUGGGGUAAAGGCCUACCAAGGCGACGAUCCGUAACUGGUCUGAGAGGAUGAUCAGUCACACUGGAACUGAGACACGGUCCAGACUCCUACGGGAGGCAGCAGUGGGGAAUAUUGGACAAUGGGCGAAAGCCUGAUCCAGCCAUGCCGCGUGUGUGAAGAAGGUCUUCGGAUUGUAAAGCACUUUAAGUUGGGAGGAAGGGCAGUAAGUUAAUACCUUGCUGUUUUGACGUUACCAACAGAAUAAGCACCGGCUAACUUCGUG